UCUUGUGAAAUCUAAUGGCUUAACCAUUAAACUGCUUGGGAAACUGAUAGUCUAGAGUGAGGGAGAGGCAGAUGGAAUUGGUGGUGUAGGGGUAAAAUCCGUAGAUAUCACCAAGAAUACCCAUUGCGAAGGCGAUCUGCUGGAACUCAACUGACGCUAAGGCGCGAAAGCGUGGGGAGCAAACAGGAUUAGAUACCCUGGUAGUCCACGCCCUAAACGAUGUAUGCUAGUUGUUGGGGUGCUAGUCAUCUCAGUAAUGCAGCUAACGCAUUAAGCAUACCGCCUGGGGAGUACGGUCGCAAGAUUAAAACUCAAAGGAAUAGACGGGGACCCGCACAAGCGGUGGAGCAUGUGGUUUAAUUCGAAGAUACGCGAAGAACCUUACCUAGGCUUGAUAUCCAACAAAUUCUGUAGAGAUACGGAAGUGCUAGCUUGCUAGAAUGUUGAGACAGGUGCUGCACGGCUGUCGUCAGCUCGUGUCGUGAGAUGUUGGGUUAAGUCCCGCAACGAGCGCAACCCUCGUCCUUAGUUGCUAACGAUUCGGUCGAGCACUCUAAGGAGACUGCCUUCGUAAGGAGGAGGAAGGUGGGGACGACGUCAAGUCAUCAUGGCCCUUACGCCUAGGGCGACACACGUGCUACAAUGGCAUAUACAAUGAGACGCAAUACCGCGAGGUGGAGCAAAUCUAUAAAAUAUGUCCCAGUUCGGAUUGUUCUCUGCAACUCGAGAGCAUGAAGCCGGAAUCGCUAGUAAUCGCAAAUCAGCCAUGUUGCGGUGAAUACGUUCCCGGGUCUUGUACUCACCGCCCGUCACACCAUGGGAGUUGAUUUCACUCGAAGUGGAAAUACUAAACUAGUUAUCCCCCACAGUGGAAUCAGCGACUGGGGUGAAGUCGUAACAAGGUAACCGUAGGAGAACCUGCGGUUGGAUCACCUCCUUU
rnacentral:rRNA from 1 species